AUUUUUCAAGUGUUCUAAAAAAAAAAGGGUUUGAAUGCUCUCCCCCCUCUCUGGGUUAACCCAGAAUUCGGCCAAGUGGGGUCGCCAGACUGUCGCCAGGUUGCCGCCGGUCGCCGUCGCCGGCCACCGCGGAAUUUCAAAAGGUGAUGGAACGGGAGCAGGUGGUGGCAGCAGGCUAGGAGGAGGCGUGUGGGCAUGCUGGUACGGCGGCUGAACUUAGGGGGCCUAAGGUUUUUUCUUUUUUUGAUUUUGUCUGGGCUAGGGUUAGGUUAAACUAUUGGGUUUGGGCUUGAAUU